UCCAAUAUCACCCAAGCACCCAGUAGGGUUUAAUGCUUUUUUACCCAGACACUGUAGGGCUUUGUACAAAUUAGUACUUCAAUCAAGCUCUACUAACUUCAAUCCACACUCUAUUCCCGCUCCUUAUAACAGAGAAUGGGGGGAAGAAGAAAUUCAUCGACAAGAAUAAAGCCUCAACUUUCCAGUUAUUUGCACGCGACUCCUCCGAUCCCAAUUUCGACGGCACUGACCAAGUUUUCGUGCGAGUCGACAACAAUCCCUACUCAAUAGACAACUUCUUGGCCGAAAACAAAUGCUCCAGCAACAGCCGCUUCGAUGACGAUCCUAAUUCAAUUUUCGCCGACGCGCCGGAUGAUACUGAGGACGGUGACGAUGGUAGUUAUGGUAAUUACUUGCACUUUGGAGGUGGAUUUUUUUGUGAAACAUCGUCGGGGCCUUUGCCAGAGGAUGUCAGGAGAGAGAUUUUGGAAUUAGGGUUUCCUGGUGAUGGUUAUAAUUAUUUACUUCACUUAAGAGAUUAAAAGUAACGUUAACGGCUCGGGUUUUUAUCAAAAUCCCAAAGCCAAGCUUCAUCAGCUUCCUCAUGAUAUCAAGGCUUAUGAUGCAUCGAGAGUAAAAGUUUCAGAAUUGAAAAGUGAGGAUAGGAAUGAUAAGUCAAUUUAUAAUGUGGCGUCGAAGAGUGUUGGUGUUAGAGUUCAGAAAGUGGUUGAUCCUGAAGUAGCGGCAUUGCUGGAUGAUAGUGAUUUGUCGCGGUUUGGUUCUGAUGCUGAGGACUUGGAGGAGGAUUUUGUUGUUCGUGCGAAUAUACCUGAGGGAGGGGAGGAUUUGGGAGCUGAUGUUGAGGGAUCGGAGGUUGUUAAUGAAGUUACCUGUGGAUAUGUUAGGUAUGGUGGCGAUCGAGAAAAUGUGUUGGGAUGCGGAGGGGUAGAGAAAGCAAUGAAUGCUCUUGUGGGGGCAAGAGGUUAUCUUGGAGAUGAGAAACAGCGGGUUCGUCGUCCUUUGGAUGAGCAGUUUGAUUCGGUGAGACUCUACUCCCUGGGUAGUUUAUUUCUGAUUUGAUCUGCAUUUUCAUAUGAACUCGUUUUUUUUAAAAUUAAUUUUCAUGUCAUGGCAGCUAGUCAUAAAAUUUUAUUCUGUUAUAUGCCAUAUGUGAGCGGCCAGAGAGAACCAUCGAUCGUAAUUGUUUGACCUGUUAGUUCUUAAAGAUCACUUAGGAUGUCAUUGUUCUGAGUUUGGCAUGACCUUAUUUGUUUGAAAAUCAUCAAAGGGAAACAUUUUUAACAAGAAAAGGUGCUGCAUACUCUGUUCAUCCUUGUUUCCCAUGGAGCAUGAAGCUGUUGCAGUUUCUUUUCGUAUGUAUCCGAGUAACAAGUUUUGAUGUCUUUCCGCUACAAAGGUUAUUAUUAAUGCCAUACCUUAGGUAAAAUUGUUUAGGUUUUUGGAAGAUAUACUUUGUAGAUGGACCUAUGAUGAGCUACAAAGCCAUGGCUAGUUGGCUCCCAUUUUGUUGGAAAACAUGGUCUCAAUCAAUGUUAUAGAUCAUGGACUAUUUGGGUUGUAAUCUGUAAUCCAAGCCGAGCAGCAAUGGGAAUCCGUGGAUGACUUGUGCCGGACCUUUAGUGAGAGUUAAAAGGAGAGGUAGAGAGGCAGGAGCUAGUGGCCAGCCAGAAAACCAGUGAGAUGACCGUUUUUAGCUAAUCUGAUACUAUUAUUGUUAUAAAAUAUAGCUUGUAUAUUAGAUAGUUAAAGAGAAAUUUAUUUUAUGGUAA